rnacentral:misc_RNA from 1 species
UAACCACUCAAGCCUAGCUUGGUAUUGGGGUUCGCGGUCUCGCGGCCCUUAAAAUCAGUGGCGGUGCCAUUUGGCUCUAAGCGUAGUAAUUUGUCUCGCUAUUGGGUCCAGUGGUUGCUUGCCAAUAACCCCCAACUUCUAA